rnacentral:rRNA from 1 species
AUACGUAGGGUGCAAGCGUUAAUCGGAUUUACUGGGCGUAAAGCGCGCGUAGGUGGCUAAUUAAGCCAAAUGUGAAAUCCCCGAGCUUAACUUGGGAAUUGCAUUCGAUACUGGUUAGCUAGGGUAUGGGAGAGGAUGGUAGAAUUCCAGGUGUAGCGGUGAAAUGCGUAGAGAUCUGGAGGAAUACCGAUGGCGAAGGCAGCCAUCUGGCCUAAUACUGACACUGAGGUGCGAAAGCAUGGGGAGCAAACAGGAUUAGAUCCCCGGGUAGUCCAUGCCGUAAACGAUGUCUACUAGCCGUUGGGGCCCUUGAGGCUUUAGUGGCGCAGCUAACGCGAUAAGUAGACCGCCUGGGGAGUACGGUCGCAAGACUAAAACUCAAAUGAAUUGACGGG